rnacentral:lncRNA from 1 species
UUCAUUGGCAGAAAUUAACGUUAUUCCAACCUCUAUUCUGCAAAAACAACUCACCCUAAUUUGGGCAUUCAUUGUAUAUCCCUUUCCAUAUAUAAAGAAUAAAAUCAUGUCAAUUGUUGUACUACUCAUAUUUAAUUACCCCUUUCAUUGCAAGAGGAAAGGGGGUUCUUUUCAUUUGACAAAGAAUCAUCCAUCAUGGCAAAAUUGUACCCUAUCUUCCUUUUGACAUGUUUGGUGGUAACAAUAUCUACAUUAGUACAUGCUAAUGUCAAAGAGGACAAAGCAUACUGGGAUAGGAUAGCACCGGUCCUUAAUACGACAUAUUGGCAGCAAAAAGCUUCAGCUGCUGCAAUGAAAAACGACAAAGCUUAUACUCCUGACCCAUAUGCAGUCUCUGGAAACCUGAGUCAUAGUGUUAGCGAGUGAGUCUUGGGAGGAGCUUCAAACCCUGUUUAAUUUGAGAAAAUACUUUCCAUUUUAAUUGCUAUACUUUAUCCUAAUUGCAAAACUACCUCAUUGUUUUCACUAUGUUUCUUGCAUAAAACUUUAAAAAUGUAAUGCAUAGUGACAACAAAGAGAUAAUUUGGCAACUUAUAAUGAAAAAAAACAGGAAAUAAAUUCUCAAUCCAAAUCAGACACAUACAUUAUUGUUACAUGUUUCUUUGUAUCUCUCAUAGAAUUAAUUAUAAGGUGAUCUAUCAUAUUUUAAUAUUUAUUGGUUUAACAAACAGAAUGAUAAUUGGCAACCAAGGAAGAAGGAAUUUGGCCGGGGGUAAAGCACGUGGUCCAUGCAUGGCUACAAACCCCAUUGACAGGUGUUGGAGGUGUGAUCCUAACUGGGCAAACAACCGCCAGAAGCUUGCAGAUUGUGUGAAAGGUUUCGGAAGGAAGACUACUGGUGGAAAAGGCGGUCCUAUCUAUGUGGUAACAGACCCCUCAGAUAGUGACAUGGUGAAUCCACGUCCUGGUACCCUUAGAUUCGGAGUUACAAGAAAUGGGCCUUUGUGGAUCACCUUCGCUCGUAGCAUGACCAUUAGGCUCAACCAGGAGCUCAUAAUGACAAGUCACAAGACCAUUGAUGGAAGAGGAGCUGAUGUUACCAUUGCUAGUGGUGCUGGUAUUACUAUCCAGUUCAUCGAGAAUGUGAUCAUCCAUGGAAUCAAAAUUUUUGACAUCGUGGUUGGAAGUGGUGGACUUAUUAGAGAUGGUCAGGACCAUUUUGGUCAAAGGACUAUGAGUGAUGGUGAUGGAAUUUCAAUUUUUGGCUCUAGCAAUAUUUGGAUUGACCAUGUUUCCAUGAGAAACUGUAGAGAUGGACUAGUUGAUGCCAUUAUGGGAUCCACUGCUAUUACCAUCUCCAAUAGCCAUUUCACAGAUCACAACGAGGUAAUUAGUAAUUAAUUCGAUAGUUACUUAUGUUUUUGCUUAUAAAAAAUUUCAUUCAUGGGUUUGAAAUGAAAAAUAUUACAUGAUUUUGAUUUUGGGUUUUUUUGUGUGUGCAUGUGAUUUAGGUGAUGUUGUUUGGUGCAAGUGAUGGCUAUGGCGGUGAUGAGAAAAUGCAGAUCACAGUUGCAUUCAACCACUUUGGUAAGAGAUUAAUCCAAAGGAUGCCAAGGUGUAGAUUUGGUUUUAUCCAUGUGCUUAACAAUGACUACACUCACUGGGAGAUGUAUGCCAUUGGUGGCAGCAUGCAUCCUACCAUUAUCAGUGAGGGUAACCGAUUCAUAGCCCCUAACAAUGGCCAUGCUAAAGAGGUAUGCAACAGUUAUACUUAUUCAUACAAAUAUAUGCUAUACAAUUUCUAGGUGUGCCUUGGUAAAACACCUUUAUUUGCUAAACUCUUAAUAUUAUUAACAUAUUCUCAUGUCAUGGCUACUAGUUGCAUCCUUAGUUUACAAGGAAAUCUGAAGUAAUUCCCUAUAAAAUACUAUUUUGGUUUUUCAUUGUACUUAUAAAUGUCAUGAUUGAACAAAAACAUAUGAAUAAAUUGAAAUUCAUGAAAACUAAGUCUCACAUAAUUUAUUGUUUGGGUGUUGAUGAAGAUAACAAAGAGGGAGUACGUAGACGAGUCAGUGUGGAAAUCCUGGCAAUGGAGAUCAAUCAACGACGUGUACCUGAACGGAGCAUUUUUCAGACAAGGAGGACCUGAGUUGAAAGACAGACCAUUCUCAAGAAAGGACAUGAUCAAAUCUAGGCCCGGAACUUAUGUUGGAAGGCUUACUCGUUAUUCUGGAAGCCUUAGAU